AAGUCGUAACAAGGUAACCGUAGGUGAACCUGCGGUUGGAUCAUUACUGAUACAACUGGCCUAGGGUGAGCUCUAACGAGAUCCCCUAGUGUCAACAACACUUUGUGCACCUUGAUGUAUUUGGGUCUGGCUUUUAUUAGCUUGGCCCAACAUUAUAAACAAACACUUUAACUUUUGACUGAAAUCUCUAUGAAAAUAGAAACAACUUUUGACAACGGAUCUCUUGGUUCUG
rnacentral:misc_RNA from 1 species